UAUCUACUUCCUCCGUCUGAAAAAACUUGUCCCUCAAAGUGAUGUAUCUCGCACCAAGUUGAUGAUAGAUACAUCCAUUUGAGAAAAGUUUGGGACAAGUUUUUUCGGACGGAGGGAGUAGUGU
rfam:Triticum aestivum genome assembly, contig: Triticum_aestivum_CS42_TGACv1_scaffold_098483_2AL